rnacentral:antisense_RNA from 1 species
CGUUAUGGCAGCUGUGUAUGGGAGACCUUCGGGUCUGCCGGGUACCUAUAACCGGUAUGCACAGCUGCCACCCUG